AAGGAUUGGCCCCCAUUUUCUUUGUUCAGUUGAGACGACGCUGGCAUCGAUUCUCUGCUGAAAAUUGCUCGUUGCCAACGAGUUGUGCAUCCAUUUCGCAGUGAUUGCAGUUCGUCGGUGUCAUAUAAACGUGUUGUGUGUCCAGAACGGCCGUUCUUCGUAAGAGGAUAUGGCCCAAAGGCUUGACACAGUUCUCUACCUGGCCGCCAGAGAGCGUUGCAGCACAGUACAGGUUCUUGUGCGAAAGACGAAAAUGAGAUCCCCUUGAAAACAAAUGAAACGUUGGCGUGUGUGUGUGUGUGUGAGUAACUAAUGAGCAGAAGAAAUGCCAUCAAGGAUUCACGUCUCAUCGCGUGGACAACUGUCGAGAGACAAGUUGAAACCAACUGGAUUUGUUUGGUUUUGCGCAGAAUCAUUGCGAGGCCGUAGCAACUGAAAUCCGGAUUUCGCAUUUCAACGCCAUCUUAAAUCGUCUUUCUUCUUUAAUCCCGAAACGCUUAAAAGCCUUCUGGUCAGCAGCUUAUCCAUCAAUUCUUUAGUAUAUACCAUAAAGGUCGGUGCAUAUAGAGUUGUGUAUAGGCCUCUAUAUUAUAUCUACACGAUAUUAUUCGUGUACGUCUAUGUAUAAUACGCCACACAAUUUAUUUAUUCCACAGUAGCCGAGGCCAGUGUUGAAUCAUGGCCGAGCGUAAUUUACCGACGUCCGUCAUUCUCCCCCCUCCAACCGAAAAAUCCUGAGUCGAGUUUCCUCUUUGAUGGAUCGAUCGGAAUCUUUUCUCCCCCCGUUUUCCAUGGCGCACGACAGACGCCAGUUAAAUGCUGCAUUGGAACGCGCCUCUGGAUCAUCAGACAUCAUCAUUUUUUGUUUUGUUUUCAUCAAAGAGAUGGGCCAAAUUCAUUCUCCAACUGGUGUUACACGAUUCCGUAUCGAUAUAAUUACUCAGUGUGAGCGUUUGCCUUUUUGUUUUUAUGGAUAGAGCUUCCGUCAUCCGCCGGCACGGAUCCUCACCAUUUUCGAAUCUUUCACUGUCUCUCGGCUUCUUGACUGGGGUUUUUUUUAACGAUUCAACGAAGGUGAUUUUCAUUUUGAAAUUGUAUUCCUCCUACCUGACGUUGACUCUUGCCCCCGCUGCACGUAAACAUCAAACAGAAGGAGAUCUACACUUAACGCUGAAUGCGAUUCCAACGAAACCGCUGCUUGAGUAUUUCGAUUAAACAACGAAAACAUUUCGAAAAAAAACAGGCAAUGUUUAAGAAGAAACGAUUAGGAAAAAGAGGAGUGAAGCUAAAUAGCUAGAGGAGCCGUUGCGGGACGGUUGGUCCUUUUGAAACGCGAUGCGACCAGCAAUUCAACGAGGAACAUCAUCAAAGAGAAGCUGCAGCCCAGGCCGAGGACGAUGAAUGAUCCAGCCAUGUCGUAAAGGGUCAACUGGCUCGUCUUUGGUCGAUACACUUGUCUAGCCAAACAUUUGUCGAUCGACUUCAAGUAGCCGCUGGUGAUUCGCGAAUAGAGGCCCGUUUGUCGCAUCUGUUGAAGCCUAUCGCGCCGACAUGUUUAUUUCAAGCUAAAGAUGGGCCAGGUGUUUGGCUACGCCGAAGCUCCACACUUGCGAGUAAUCGAGUUCUUUUCCGAUAGUCAGACGGCAUUCUCCCUUGUGUUCCAUCAUGCUCUUGUACACGAGCACUUCUCCCAAUCUCUUUACCUGGAAAAAAAUCAAAUAAGAUCUCGUAAGUUAAAUGGUUUCUUGUUGUUCCAGAUUCAACCGACUUCGACGUAAGCGCAACAUCCGGAAUGCAAGACUUUGUCCAGUUCUCCAGAAAUGCUUCCUCGAGGUGCGGUCACUCGCAAACUCUUACUGGCCGCAAGGUCGUCCCAGGUGUUGACGACCGGUUCGUAUUUGGACAGCGAAAUGUAAGAGACCAGAGUGCUGUUGUAGGCGUAGACGAGGACGAAAGCGAUGAGACACCAAGAACCAGCCGCAAAACGCAUCGAUAAACGGCUGGACGGCAUGUGACCUCCUGUGAUCAGCCGAUUGUUUUUAAUAAUUGGCGUGAAAAAAAAUUUAAUAAAAAAAAUGUUCGCUAGACGCUGUACACCUUGCGACAUGAUGACAACGAGCGCAUACCAGGCGUUGUCCGUGAACAGCUGUACGUUGGUCUGUCCUCUUCUUUGAACGGCCGGCCCAGCCGAUCUUCUAAUCACGCUCAAGAUGAGCGCCGUAGCAGCGAACGCUACGAUAAUCAGGUACCACACCUUUCGUGAAUUAUGAACUAUGAAUUUGUGUUUUUGGCUAUUGAUUGGGGCUGUAGUCUACCGUUGGCUGGAACGGUUUGAUGGGCGCCAGGAAACGGUUGUGGAUCUGCGGCAUCGGCUGGAUCAUUGCAAACGUGAAAACGGAAACAGCGGUCGUGAAAUCCAUGUAGGCCAGACGCUCGGCAGUGGGCGUGAUUAGCCUGCCGUUUACAUCAGCGUUCUUGUUACGAAUUAUUGCGAUAUGUGCGAAAAGAGGAGAGAAAUAACCAUUUAAUAAGUUAGCAAUCAUUCGCUAUUGGAUGGUGAUUACCUUUUGUACGAGCUGGUCGAUCAUUGCAGCGUCGAUCGAUCCUAUUCGCUUCACCAUGGUCGGCGUGACUUCCACGAACGAAUACCUGCUCAAUCAUUCAUCGCAGUACUCUAGUGUUAUUACGACGCUUUAAUAUAUAAUAUAUGUAUUCUAGUUUUAGCAAUUAAGUUUAGAAGAGAUCAGAAACUGACGUAAAGUUCAUCGAGUUGGACAAGAGAUUGAAAACUUCUUUGGGGAAACCAACGUAACGGACGAGACUCUCGUUGGCUGGAUUUCGGAUGAUGGAGAAAAUGGGUGGCUCCUUCAAUUUCAAACGUGAACACGUCAGAUGCUAUCGUUUGAAUUUUAAAUUUAUUCAGGUAAAAAUUAAAUAAAAAAACAACUUACGUGAUAAGCGACGAUCCUCAAAUGCACCCCGGUCAUGGCUUUCAUUUGUUUUCGUCCCUUGUUGUUUCCUUCGCAUUCGGCUGAUAAGAAGAAGACUAUCAGCGUCGCAGCAAAUAAGGCCUGGAUACAUUUCAUGGUGAUGAUCUGCUUGGUUAUCAAACGUCUUUUGUUGAUGAGUGUCUCUGUCCAAUUUGUGAACGGAAGUGCUCGUCGCAUGGCUCUUAAAUAGCGGACACGAGAGAGUUCUAACACGUGACUGUUAUGUGGUUUGCAAUAAUCACGCCUGUGCAGAGUUGGAUUUCAUAUCGAAAUUCAGGUUGACCUUGUGCAGCACUUCGAACGCAGUUUGACGAAAUUGUUUGAUUUGACAUGUUACAAAUUUUAUUGAUAGCAAUUGCCUUUGAAUUUACUCCAGUCGUGAUGGCUGAUUGUUAUGACGACGGCUUUCCAGCUUUCACUCACUUCGUUAUUAAUGGAUUGCAUUCUACACAAGUAUCGAAAUAAAGGUCACAGCUGUCGCAAUAAA